AGGAUCAUUUCUGUAGUCAGUCUUCACUUACUUUCACACUAACUGAAAGCCUCUUACACCCGCGUUGAUGAGAUACAUCGUUUUAUUCGGCAGCGUGAGGAUUUGUGUGAUGCUUUUUUGCGAUGUUACUUCGGUUACAUCGUACUGUGAAUGUAUUUAUCGAACGGCUUCAUAUUGGAGGUUCCGCGAAAAUUAAUUUGUAAAGCAAGAUCUCGAGAUACAAUCUGUUCAAGAUUUAUGACGACUCCUUCCGGCAUUAG